rnacentral:rRNA from 1 species
GCGGAGGAAAAGAAACCAACAGGGAUUGCCUCAGUAGCGGCGAGUGAAGCGGCAAAAGCUCAAAUUUGAAAUCUGGCGUCUUUGGCGUCCGAGUUGUAAUUUGAAGAAGGUAUCUUUGGGCCCGGCUCUUGUCUAUGUUCCUUGGAACAGGACGUCACAGAGGGUGAGAAUCCCGUGCGAUGAGAUGACCCGGGUCUGUGUAAAGUUCCUUCGACGAGUCGAGUUGUUUGGGAAUGCAGCUCUAAGUGGGUGGUAAAUUCCAUCUAAAGCUAAAUAUUGGCGAGAGACCGAUAGCGAACAAGUACAGUGAUGGAAAGAUGAAAAGAACUUUGAAAAGAGAGUGAAAAAGUACGUGAAAUUGUUGAAAGGGAAGGGCUUGAGAUCAGACUUGGUAUUUUGCAUGCUGCUCUCUCGGGGGCGGCCGCUGCGGUUUACCGGGCCAGCAUCGGUUUGGAGCGGCAGGAUAAUGGCGGAGGAAUGUGGCACGGCUUCUGCUGUGUGUUAUAGCCUCUGACGAUACUGCCAGCCUAGACCGAGGACUGCGGUU